UACGUGAGGGUGCGAGCCGUUUAAUCGGGAAUUAACUGGGCGUAAAGCGUGCGCAGGCGGUUCGUUAAGUUCGUUGUGAAAGCCCCGGGCUCAACCUGGGAACUGCAAUGGAAACUGGUCGGGCUUGAGUGUGGCGAGAGGGGGUGGGAAUUCCCAUGUAGCGGUGGAAAUGACGUAGAUAUUGGGAGGAACACCGGUGGCGAAGGCGGCCCCCUGGACCGGUACUGACGCUGAGGCGCGAAAGCGUGGGUAGGCAAACGGGAAUUAGAGCUACCCAGU
rnacentral:rRNA from 1 species